AUUGAACGCUGGCGGCAUGCCUAACACAUGCAAGUCGAGCGGAUGAAGGGAGCUUGCUCCUGGAUUCAGCGGCGGACGGGUGAGUAAUGCCUAGGAAUCUGCCUGGUAGUUGGGGAUAACGUCCGGAAACGGGCGCUAAUACCGCAUACGUCCUGAUGGUGAAAGUGGGGGAUCUUCGGACCUCACGCUAUCAGAUGAGCCUAGGUCGGAUUAGCUAGUUGGUGGGGUAAAGGCCUACCAAGGCGACGAUCCGUAACUGGUCUGGGAGGAUGAUCAGUCACACUGGAACUGAGACACGGUCCAGACUCCUACGGGAGGCAGCAGUGGGGAAUAUUGGACAAUGGGCGAAAGCCUGAUCCAGCCAUGCCGCGUGUGUGAAGAAGGUCUUCGGAUUGUAAAGCACUUUAAGUUGGGAGGAAGGGCAGUAAGUUAAUACCUUGCUGUUUUGACGUUACCAACAGAAUAAGCACCGGCUAACUUCGUG
rnacentral:rRNA from 1 species